rnacentral:rRNA from 1 species
GACGAACGCUGGCGGCGUGCCUAAUACAUGCAAGUCGAACGCACGAAGUUGAAGAGCUUGCUCUUUAACCAAGUGAGUGGCGGACGGGUGAGUAACACGUGGGUAACCUGCCCAUUAGAGGGGGAUAACAUUCGGAAACGGAUGCUAAUACCGCAUAGUUUCAGGGAUCGCAUGAUUCUUGAAGGAAAGGUGGCUCCGGCUACCACUAAUGGAUGGACCCGCGGCGUAUUAGCUAGUUGGUGAGGUAAUGGCUCACCAAGGCAAUGAUACGUAGCCGACCUGAGAGGGUGAUCGGCCACACUGGGACUGAGACACGGCCCAGACUCCUACGGGAGGCAGCAGUAGGGAAUCUUCCGCAAUGGACGAAAGUCUGACGGAGCAACGCCGCGUGAGUGAAGAAGGUUUUCGGAUCGUAAAACUCUGUUGUUAAAGAAGAACAAGGAUGAGAGUAACUGCUCAUCCCCUGACGGUAUUUAACCAGAAAGCCGCGGCUAACUACGUGCCAGCAGCCGCGGUAAUACGUAGGUGGCAAGCGCUGUCCGGAUUUAUUGGGCGUAAAGCGAGCGCAGGCGGUUCUUUAAGUCUGAUGUGAAAGCCCCCGGCUCAACCGGGGAGGGUCAUUGGAAACUGGAGAACUUGAGUGCAGAAGAGGAGAGUGGAAUUCCACGUGUAGCGGUGAAAUGCGUAGAUAUGUGGAGGAACACCAGUGGCGAAGGCGACUCUCUGGUCUGUAACUGACGCUGAGGCUCGAAAGCGUGGGGAGCAAACAGG